rnacentral:rRNA from 1 species
GCUUAAAGCAGCCGUAGCCGGUCUUGUAAAUCCUUGGGUAAAUCGACCAGCUCAACUGUUCGAAGUCCGGGGAGACUGCAAGACUUGGGAUCGGGAGAGGUGAGAGGUACUUCUGGGGUAGGGGUAAAAUCCUGUAAUCCUAGAAGGACCACCGGUGGCGAAGGCGUCUCACUAGAACGAAUCCGACGGUGAGGGACGAAGCCCUGGGGCGCAAACGGGAUUAGAUACCCCGGUAGUCCAGGGUGUAAACGCUGCGGGCUUGGUGUUGGGGGUCCUUUGAGGGCGCCCAGUGCCGGAGAGAAGUUGUUAAGCCUGCUGCUUGGGGAGUACGUCCGCAAGGAUGAAACUUAAAGGAAUUGGCGGGGGAGCACCGCAACGGGAGGAGCGUGCGGUUCAAUUGGAUUCAACGCCGGACAACUCACCAGGAGCGACGGUUACAUGAAGGCCAGGCUGAUGACCUUGCCUGAUUUUCCGAGAGGUGGUGCAUGGCCGUCGUCAGUUCGUACCGUAAGGCGUUCUCUUAAGUGAGAUAACGAACGAGACCCUCACCGCUAAUUGCUAGUGUUCUCUCCGGAGGGCACGCACAUUAACGGGACCGCUGUCGCUAAGACAGAGGAAGGAGAGGUCAACGGUAGGUCCGUAUGCCCCGAAUCUCCUGGGCUACACGCGCGCUACAAAGGUUGGGACAAUGGGCUCCGACAUCGAAAGGUGAAGGCAAUCUCGAAACCCAAUCGUAGUUCGGAUUGAGGGUUGUAACUCACCCUCAUGAAGCUGGAUUCCGUAGUAAUCGCU